AGUGUGCCAGUUUGGAAGGUGACAGUGUGCCAGUUUGGAAGAGUUCUAGACGUGGUGACCAGGUACUAGGCUCGGGCCGGCAGCAACAUUGCUCGAACAAGAGGGCUGUAGAAAGAUCAGGGAUCAAGCAGCCAAAGAAAAACUAUAACCAGGUUAUACUUCUCAAAAUCAUCUCCAGCUUUUUAGGAAGCAAUGCAGAGAGCCCAUCAUCAAGAAAUCCAUCGAGAACAAGGAAUUUUUGCUAGGAAACCAUUUGAACUGGAGAACACAGCUAGGAAAGCAGCCAUGCUUUUUCGGCAAAGUCCCAAACCUGGUGAAAGUAUGAGAUCCUUCAUUUCUUUGUCAUCAUGAAGAAAUCAACUCAAGAAAUCCAUCCCUUUCGACUCA